rnacentral:rRNA from 1 species
UGGGGAAUUUUGGACAAUGGGCGAAAGCCUGAUCCAGCCAUGCCGCGUGAGUGAAGAAGGCCUUCGGGUUGUAAAGCUCUUUCGGUGGGGAAGAAAUUGCAUAGGCUAAUACCCUGUGUAGAUGACGGUACCUGGAGAAGAAGCACCGGCUAACUACGUGCCAGCAGCCGCGGUAAUACGUAGGGUGCGAGCGUUAAUCGGAAUUACUGGGCGUAAAGCGUGCGCAGGCGGUUUGGUAAGUCAGAUGUGAAAUCCCCGGGCUCAACCUGGGAACUGCAUUUGAGACUGCCAAGCUGGAGUUUGGCAGAGGGGGGUGGAAUUCCACGUGUAGCAGUGAAAUGCGUAGAGAUGUGGAGGAACACCGAUGGCGAAGGCAGCCCCCUGGGCCAAUACUGACGCUCAUGCACGAAAGCGUGGGGAGCAAACA